rnacentral:lncRNA from 1 species
GUGGGACGGCCUGAGGCUCGGUCCCCUCCACCACCGCCGGCUCGGCUCCUCCAAUUCGCCGGACACCAACUCUCUUGGACAGCGCCUUCCACUGCCCAUUCUCCGACGUAGCUGGGUGGGGACCCCAACAGUGCUUGAAGCUUGGGGAGACUUCGAGCCCCCCAACUGGACAAUCCGGGUGAGCCUACCCCCAGGUGGGCAGUUGUGUGGCAUCCCACGUAAUCCCACGCUCUCGAAGACGGCGUGCGUCUCCCUCCCGAGCGGGCGUGGCUUCAUUCUCAGCCAGGCAGGGUCUGGACGAUCCGGGAGUCAGUAUCCCUGUGAAAUGAGUGCUGACCUCGAAGAAGAGCUGGCCCACGGGCACCAGCCCCAGGAGAUCAGAGGACACGCAACGCCUUGGAGUGGCCACUUGGCCCCCUGCCUCCCUGGAUCUGAGGUUCUUAACUUCUGUGGACUUGGUAGAGCCCUCCUGUUAUCAGAAAGAAGGCUGUGCUGAAGUGGACCCCGUCUUUCAGAUGCUGUCCAGAUGACGUAGGGCUCAGGAGCUGAGUCCAGGCAGAAGAGGAGUGACCCGCAGUACACUGGGCGGUGAUGGGCACUAUGUCACAUCAAGAGGUAGAUAGAACCCGUCCACCGAGGAAAGCCCUACGAGGGGACAUUUACUCCCAGUCAGGGGAGGAGGUGAGGAGUAGGGGAGACAGCAGAUCCUACAGGGUCAGAACCUUGUCCUCCUCUAGGUGAGGUGGAGUGCCAUCAAGGGAUUUUGAGCAGAGGGAGGAAGGAUUCUGAAGGGUGAAGCAGGCGUCACUGACAGUGGGACAAGUGGUGAGAAGGAAAGAGGUCAAGGAGGACCUGCGAUGCUUGCUCAAGUGUUGGUCUCCUAUCAUGAAGGAACUGGGAACCAAUUGAUUAGUUCAUAUUGUUUCUCAGUGGAUUUCCCAGCAUUUUCUGAACACAGAGCUUGUCUUCUGUGAAGGGAGCUUACCUCUUUUUCCCAACCGAGGGAGGAGGGUGCUUUAUUUCUUCUUGCCUGAGACCUGGCUUGAAAGAAGCUCCAGCUCAGGGUCAAGUGGGAGCGUGAGAGCAUAUGUCUUUAUCCCAUUCCUGAUCUGGAGGAGGCAUCCCACUUAUCACUAUGAUGCUGGCUGUAGGUUUUUCAUGGAUGCCCUUUAUCAGACAAAAGUUCCUCUCUAUUCCCAGGUUUUUGUUUUGUUUGUUUGUUUGGAAUGUGUGUGUAUGUGUGUUGCUGGGGAUCAAACCCAGGGCCUUGUGCGAGGCAAGCACUCUACCAACUGAGCUAUAUCCCCAGCACCUCCAGGUUAUGUCUUUUAUCAUGAAACAUGGUUGGAUUUUCUCCAGAAAAUCCAAAAUGCUUUUUUUGCAUCUAUCUCCCCCCGCCAUCCUGUUACUGUAGUGUAUUUUAUUGCUUGAUUUUCAGUUAUUGACCCUCCCUUGCAUUCCUGGAUAAACUGCCCUUGGUCUCGACAUAGAUUCCUCUUGAUAUGUUCCUAGGUUUGGUUUAGUACUAUUUUGUUGGUUUUUUUUUUUUUUUUGCAUCCAUGUUCAAAAUAAUACUGGUUUAUAAGUUCUUGUGAAGUCUUCAUCUGGUCUUGGUAUAUCAGUUACCACUGGCCUCAUAAAUCAGAUUGAGAGUGUUCCUCAUAUAUUUCUGGAAGAGUUCUUAAAGAACUGGCAUUAAUUCUUUGGUAGAAUUCAGCAUCACAGCCAUAUGGAAAUGGGGGUUCAUGGGUAACUGAUUAUUAUUCACUAUAGGUCUGUUCAGAUUGUUUCACCUUGAGUUAGUUUCAGUGGUUAAGUCUUUCUAGAAAUGUGUCCAUUUUAUCUAGUUCUCAGGUUUUGGGCCUAAACAAUUCUGAUACCUGAGUAAUCCUUAACUAAAAUAGGAAAGGCCAGAACAGGGAAGUGGGGCAGAAUCAAGAGUUUUCAGCAUGACUUUGGAUUUGGGGAUGCCCUAGCAUCCCUGGAAAGCAAUUCUGUGGGAGGGUGGGGACAGAGGAGGAUAGAAUCCCCACAAUGAGUAUGCAGCUUCCUUCCAGGAGUUUCACUGUGGAGGAGAGCAGAGAAGCUGAGCUGAACCAAGGGGAGGACAGGGUGCAGAAAGAGGGGUGUGUGUGCAAACUGGACAUUCCAGAUGCCGGUGGAAACCUGAUGACAGAGGCGGAGAGUUGCUGGCGCCAUAAGACUAGACACGAAACUGGGAGGAGGCCCCUCUUUUUCAUCUGGUAGCAGCGUGAGAGAAGGCACUGGGACAGGAGGAUGGGCUGGGGCGGGAAGCCUGGCUGACUCUGCCCUAGUGGCCCCAAGACUGGCUUAAGGGCACAGCAGGGUACCAUGGGUGGCAGGGGACAGGAGAAAGCCUGGGAUAGUUAGUUGUCUGAGCUGCAGAGAUAGACUAUGAUGCCGUCAUCAUUCUUUGUCUUCCCAGGAGACAUCUCAUAGGUGGACAUACCUGGAAGGAAGGCUGAUGUGGCAUGUGCCCUGAGACCACCAGAGAAGGGCUGAGUCACAGGGCUUGGCCAGGGCAGAACCCUCCAGGGAUGCGGAGGGAUAUGCAGGGGUCAAUUGUGACACUGGGGCCACAUGGGGCAGGGAGCAGAUGGAGAACCUGGCAGCCCAGAGAUCCCGUGGGCUUAAGGAACUGCAAAGAGUGGGAACAGAGGGCUCUGGGUCAGAGGAAUCAUCUGGGCUGCUAGAAUUGCAUGUUUCCACCUGUUCUGGCACUGGAAAGACAAGCGUUUUGUCUAGAUGCCAGUUCUGGCUCAUGUGUGCUUUAGGAGUUACCCUUUAGGAAGCUGUCAGCCAGGCCUCUGUACCUUGCUCAAGUUUGAAUAUAGGAGCAGCAUUUAUCUCUAUCAUCCAAAACAAACUUGCUGCUAGAACCCAGGACUGGUUUUGUUUAUCUGCAGCAAAGGGGCAGUUUGCCAAAGGUGCCAUGAAGACUCUGAGAGGAUGCAAGGAAAUGGCCCCUGCCUGCAACCCCAAACAUCUUCAGGAUGGAACCAAAGCCAUCAGCCCAGCAGGAGAGUGACGUCCCAGCCCACCAGUCUGCAACUCCGAGCAGGAGGAGCCCCUGCACCACGUCUCUCAAAUAUCCCAGCAGAGAGCAUUCUCUCCAGCAUAGGUGAGCUUGGCUGGCUCCCCUGACCUUCGCUUUCCUAUAGUUCUGGUUCUAGGCUCCACCUUCCAUCACAUCAAAUUUCAAGAGACCCAAAUCCUGUUCCAGCCCCUCAGAAAAGAGAAGCACCUGGAGGAGGUCCAGCUUCCAAGCCUCUGCCAAUAUUCACGCCCCUUGUCUCAUGCUCUGGCCAGCUGCAGGCUGCCCUGGAACUUCCUUAUUUAUAGGAUCCUCUGGGCACCCACUUGACCCAGGAUCCCAAGCAAGCUCAGGGGAAUUCUAGCCCAGGGCCAGGGCACAGGCCAGCACCUGCAGUGGAGAUGCACCCUGUCCCCAGAGACACAGCUUACAGGAGAUGCUAAUGUACCUCUGCAUCAGCCUGGCAGCUGUCUUUCAUUUGCAAAAGUAGAAAUGUCAUCUUUGUAUUUUUGGUUCUGAUUUGAGAGGUAUGUAUUUUGGUCUUAACUGAAAUCCAGCAUCAUGUGAGAGCGCCCUUCUGUGUACUUCACCUUCCCUAUAACCAGGGCAGUCUGUUCCUCGAGGUAGACAGGGCUGCCCCCAAGGCCUGGUGUGGCCAGUGUUAGAGCCAUCUGCCCAACUGGAAAUGCCAGUUGGUUCCUUGUGGGUACAGAAAGGUCAUGUAGGAUGGUGGUAUGGGAUGAUUUUCACCCAAAAACCCCUUACCUGAAAGGCAUGGGGGGGGAGUGAUUUCUGGGGUGGGGGACCUGGAGGAACAGGCACAACUUUGAAUUCCUUUGAGCUUUUCAUUAGUCAGUGAUUCAGGAGAGGAGAGGAAAGGCCUUGACUCUCAUUGGCAUGUGGAGAGGCAGAGGGCUGGGACAGGAUGCUGCUGCUCAUGGGAGUGACCUGGAGAGGUUCCUCACACCCAGAUGCUCCUGCGUGCAGAGAACUGGCCUGCAGACUGGCACUGUGGCGGGAGUCACACCCCAAGGUGGGCUGUGAAACGUGUGGGGACAUGUGCACCUGUGUGCUCAUGCACAUGUCAGUACCGGCUUCCUUUGCUUGGCUGUGGCCCUGAAGAGAUUUCAGGCCACUCUUGGCAUGUUUAUGUGAGAAGUUGAAUAAGGGAAUCAGAGAGGAUGGGGGGAGGACCUACUGCCUGGUACCGGCUGUGAGAGGUGACAUGGCUGGUUCCCUCAGCUAUAAGGGAGCCAGUUCCCCCACCAGAAUGGAGACUCUCUCCACGUGAGGCUGGCAAACAGCAGCCUCCAGCAAGAGAGACUGGGCCACACCCUCCUUAUUGCCCUCAUUCUCCGUGAACCAGGAGUGGAAGCAGCUCCCGCCAGACCUGCACCAGCUCAUAGGAGGUUCAAGAUGGCAAGGACCCCACAGCUUCUGUUAAAGAGCUGUCAUCCCUCGGGCUGGGAAUACAGCUCAGAUGGUAGAGCGCUUGCCUCACAUGCACAAGGCCUUGGGUUCAAUCCCCAGCACCACAGAAGAAAAGAGAAAAAAGAGCUGUCAUCCCACAACGAGCAUGACACCAUCCCCUCAUCCUUUCUGAAAAAUAAAUGACAUGUAAGCCUGUGGGGGCGCCAUCAGAGCAGAGGCUUCACUGUGGGA